UACGAAGGGGGCUAGCGUUGUUCGGAUUUACUGGGCGUAAAGCGCACGUAGGCGGACUUUUAAGUCAGGGGUGAAAUCCCGGGGCUCAACCCCGGAACUGCCUUUGAUACUGGAAGCCUUGAGUAUGGUAGAGGUGAGUGGAAUUCCGAGUGUAGAGGUGAAAUUCGUAGAUAUUCGGAGGAACACCAGUGGCGAAGGCGGCUCACUGGACCAUUACUGACGCUGAGGUGCGAAAGCGUGGGGAGCAAACAGG
rnacentral:rRNA from 1 species